GAUGAACGCUGGCGGCGUGCCUAAUACAUGCAAGUCGAGCGAAUGGAUUAGGAGCUUGCUCUUAUGAAGUUAGCGGCGGACGGGUGAGUAACACGUGGGUAACCUGCCCAUAAGACUGGGAUAACUCCGGGAAACCGGGGCUAAUACCGGAUAACAUUUUGAACCGCAUGGUUCGAAAUUGAAAGGCGGCUUCGGCUGUCACUUAUGGAUGGACCCGCGUCGCAUUAGCUAGUUGGUGAGGUAACGGCUCACCAAGGCAACGAUGCGUAGCCGACCUGAGAGGGUGAUCGGCCACACUGGGACUGAAACACGGCCCAGACUCCUACGGGAGGCAGCAGUAGGGAAUCUUCCGCAAUGGACGAAAGUCUGUCGGAGCAACGCCGCGUGAGUGAUGAAGGCUUUCGGGUCGUAAAACUCUGUUGUUAGGGAAGAACAAGUGCUAGUUGAAUAAGCUGGCACCUUGACGGUACCUAACCAGAAAGCCACGGCUAACUACGUGCCAGCCGCCGCGGUAA
rnacentral:rRNA from 1 species